GGGUGAUUAGCUCAGCUGGGAGAGCACCUCCCUUACAAGGAGGGGGUCGGCGGUUCGAUUCAGGCAUCUCUCA
rnacentral:tRNA from 1 species